GACGAACCGUGCGAACGUUGUUCGGAAUCACUGGGCUUAAAGGGCGCGUAGGCGGCCUGUUAAGUCGAACGUGAAAUCCCCGGGCUCAACCCGGGAACUGCGUCCGAUACUGGCAGGCUUGAAUUCGGGAGAGGGAUGUGGAAUUCCAGGUGUAGCGGUGAAAUGCGUAGAUAUCUGGAGGAACACCGGUGGCGAAGGCGGCAUCCUGGACCGGCAUUGACGCUGAGGCGCGAAAGCCAGGGGAGCAAACGGGG
rnacentral:rRNA from 1 species